UACGAAGGGUGCAAGCGUUACUCGGAAUCACUGGGCGUAAAGCGUGCGUAGGCGGUUUCUUAAGUCUGUCGUGAAAGCCCUGGGCUCAACCUGGGAACGGCGAUGGAUACUGGGAAGCUAGAAUGUGAGAGAGGAUGGUGGAAUUCCCGGUGUAGCGGUGAAAUGCGUAGAGAUCGGGAGGAACACCAAUGGCGAAGGCAGUGCUCUGGGCUAACACUGACGCUGAGGUGCGAAAGCGUGGGUAGCGAACGGG
rnacentral:rRNA from 1 species